GCCUUUGUAGUGCAGUGGUAGCAUUAUUGUCUACCACGCAAGGGGGCCCAGGUUUGAUUCCUGGCAAAGGACU